GAUGAACGCUGGCGGCGUGCCUAAUACAUGCAAGUCGAGCGAACAGACGAGGAGCUUGCUCCUCUGACGUUAGCGGCGGACGGGUGAGUAACACGUGGAUAACCUACCUAUAAGACUGGGAUAACUUCGGGAAACCGGAGCUAAUACCGGAUAAUAUAUUGAACCGCAUGGUUCAAUAGUGAAAGACGGUUUUGCUGUCACUUAUAGAUGGAUCCGCGCCGCAUUAGCUAGUUGGUAAGGUAACGGCUUACCAAGGCAACGAUGCAUAGCCGACCUGAGAGGGGGAACGGCCAAAAUGGAACUGAAACACGGGCCAGACCCCAACGGGGGGCGGCAGUAGGGAACUUUCCGAAAUGGGAGAAAGCCUGACGGAGCAACGCCGGGUGAGGGAGGAAGGUUUUCGGAUCGUAAAAAGCUUUUAUUAGGGAAAAAAAAAUGGGUAAGUAAAGAGGCAGGUUUUGACGGUACCAAAUCAGAAAGCCACGGCAAACUAGGU
rnacentral:rRNA from 1 species